GCAGUCGAGCGGCAGUUGAGUAGCAAUACUUGACCUAGAGCGGCGCACGGGUGCGUUACGCGUAUGCAACCUACCUUAUACUGGGGGAUAGCCCGUAGAAAUGCGGAUUAAUACCCCAUGGUAUUGAGUGAUGGCAUCGUCAUUCAAUUAAAGAUUUAUCGGUAUGAGAUGGGCAUGCGUAGGAUUAGCUAGUUGGUAAGGUAACGGCUUACCAAGGCUACGAUCCUUAGGGGUUCUGAGAGGAAGGUCCCCCACACUGGCACUGAGAUACGGGCCAGACUCCUACGGGAGGCAGCAGUAGGGAAUAUUGGGCAAUGGUCGGAAGACUGACCCAGCCAUGCCGCGUGCAGGAAGACGGCCCUCUGGGUUGUAAACUGCUUUUAUCAGGGAAGAAAAGGGCCAUGCGUGGCAAAUUGCCGGUACCUGAUGAAUAAGCACCGGCUAACUCCGUGCCAGCAGCCGCGGUAAUACGGAGGGUGCGAGCGUUGUCCGGAUUUAUUGGGUUUAAAGGGUGCGUAGGCGGCUGCUUAAGUCAGUGGUAAAAGGCACGGGCUCAACCCGAUGUAAGCCAUUGAUACUGGGCAGCUUGAGUUUUCUGAGAGUACAUGGAAUUGAUGGUGUAGCGGUGAAAUGCAUAGAUACCAUCAGGAACACCG
rnacentral:rRNA from 1 species